rnacentral:rRNA from 1 species
UGUGAAAACUUGUUGUGAGUAAUCAUGCAAUGCAUUUAUUAGACAUUAACCAAUACUCAUUGUGUGGCAGUAACAAUAUAGUCGAGCAGUGUGUCAAGGUGAAUCUGGAUAACUUUGCUGAUCGUAUGGCCUCGUGCUGACGACGUUUCAAUUGAAUUUCUGCCCUAUCAACUAGUUGGUAAGGUAGUGGCUUACCAAGGUUGCAACGGGUAACGGGGAAUCAGGGUUCGAUUCCGGAGAGGGAGCCUGAGAAACGGCUACCACAUCCAAGGGAGGCAGCAGGCGCGCAAAUUACCCAAUCCAGACACUGGGAGGUGGUGACGAGAAAUACUGGAUCGUUUGUGACAAACAUGCGAUACCGGAAUGAACAUAAUUUAAGACUGUUGUCGAGAAACAAAUGGAGGGCAAGUCUGGUGCCAGCAGCCGCGGUAAUUCCAGCUCCAUUAGUGUCGUGUGACGUUGCUGCGGUUAAAACGCACGUAGUUGGAUUACGCAGUGUGAGCACGGUGCUUAACAUGGAGUGACGUUUAAAGCUUCAAAGUGAUUCAAUGUAUUGGAUAACGGAUGUAUAACUUUGUUUGCAUUACGACCAGUGUAUUGGUUAUGCUGAGGUGUUGCUUUGUGUUAAAUCGAACCGUCUCAUACUACAUGUGUCGUGAAUGUGGCGUAUUGCCUUUAUCGGUCGUAUGUCGUGUUUGCGGAGUGUGCCUUGAAUAAAUCAAAGUGCUUAAAGCAGGCUUGUAGCUUGAAUGUUAGUAGCAUGGAACGAACAAUUGUGAAUGCAUGAGUACGGUGUAAUGCAUAGGCUUUGCUUAUGUGUGACUGAGCUCAUGUAGCACCAACCGUUGAUAUGGAUGUUGGUUUCCGUAUUGAGGUGAGUAUUAAAACGAGCGGUUGGGGGCAUUAGUAUUUGGCAGCGAGAGGUGAAAUUAAA